rnacentral:rRNA from 1 species
CCUACGGGAGGCAGCAGUGGGGAAUAUUGCACAAUGGGGGAAACCCUGAUGCAGCGACGCCGCGUGAGUGAAGAAGUCCUUCGUGAUGUAAAGCUCUAUCAGCAGGGAAGAAAAUGACGGUACCUGAGUAAGAAGCCCCGGCUAACUACGUGCCAGCAGCCGCCGUAAUACGUAGGGGGCAAGCGUAAUCCGGAUGUACUGGGUGUAAAGGGAGCGUAGACGGGAGUGCAAGUCUGUAGUGAAAGGCGGAGGCUCAAACCCCAGACUGCUAGGGAAACUGUCAGGCUGGAGUGCAGGAGAGGUAAGUGGAAUGCCUAGUGUAGCGGUGAAAUGCGUAGAUAUUAGGAGGAACACCAGUGGCGAAGGCGGCUUACUGGACUGUAACUGACAUUGAGGCUCGAAAGCGUGGGGAGCAAACAGGAUUAGAUACCCCAGUAGUC